UUUUUUUUUUUUUUUUUUUUUUUGGGUGUGGGGAUCCUGAAAAUUGGGCUAUAUUAUAUGUGUGCUAAUGGCUAUCAAGGACCAUUUUGGACCGCCCCUUUCUGAUUACUCAUUGCAACGUGUUUAUCCUCAGCCCAAGUGAGAUACCUUUUCUUUUUAAUUUCUUUAUUUUCUUACAGGUGAAAAUUGUCAAAAAUAGAAUGAUUUUCUGGAGAACAUGGAUAAAGCUAGCUCCAGAUAGCAUAUGGAAUUAGGGGUAUGAACCAGUCUAAUCAAAUCGAAUAUCUAAUGUUCAAACUUGUUUGAUUAUUUUAACAAAUUUGAAAUUUUAUUCAAACUUGACUUAUUUAUUUGCUGAAUCAAGUUUGAAUGAAUUUUUUUUUAAUCGAGCUUGAAUGUUAUUUAACACAAAAUGUUAUUCAAUCUUGAUUUGACGAGUUGGCAAACUAAUUCCAAACGAGCUCUUACCAAGUCAAACUUAAUUCAAGUAUCAAAUAACUUGAUUCAUCUUUUAACCUUAUAUAGAAUUAGUAUUUUUUUUUUAGUAAGAUAUUUAGUGUGUGAUACUUGAACUGAAGGGGCUGUCGCAUGAAUGCAUGGUUUAAAGUUUAAACUCAAAUUAAGUAGAUGUAGUAAGAGGAGAUAUGUGGUCAAGAUACUGGCUGUGGGUAAAUAACAGAUGCCAAGUUGUUAACCAUUACAUAAUGAGUUAAGAAUAUAUUAAAUAUUUUUCUCAUUUGGUACAAGUCUAAAUUGAAAAAAAAAUCAUGAAUUUUGUAUUUUUAUUUUUCAGUAAAAACGAGCGAUGAUGAGAGGUAGAAGACUUUGAUAUCCCUACCUAUCUGUUUAUGGACAUAAGCAACAACGCCAAAUAGAUAUUCUUAGAGAACAUUAUAUACAAUAAUUAGUAGGUUAAUCUUUCUUACACUAACAGUACACUUACUGGGAGACUUGGAUGAAUGACAACUGUGUGAAAUUCAAAUUUUGCAUUUAUAUAUAUAAGAUUUACUCGUAAUUAUUAGCCGGUUUGACUAAUUGACCCCAAAUUAAGAUAGCCAAUUAUGGUUGCCAAACAAGGAAAAAGUUUUUUAAAAUUUUUUUUUUUUGUUUGGCUACAUAAAACGGACUGCUUCCUAUUGGAAAUUUAUGAAUUUUUCAUUGAAAUUCUCCGGCAACCAACUGUUUACGAUUUUUUUUUUUCCAUUUAGGACCAAAUAUUUUCUUACUGCAUGAAUUUCAACUGGAAAUUUAGGUUUGUCAUGUGACAAAACAAACGACAAGCGUAACUGCUGAAGUGCUAAAACCUUCACUCCAACUAAUAUUCUGUCCAAGAUCAACUUAAAUUGGCAUAUAGUUAUUCGCAUAAAUCUUUGACAUUUUUUUUUGUCCCCUGAUUAUCAAUCUAAUGUCUAAUGUAAUAUUUUCCAAGAAUCCCAUAUUACACGAGAAACAUACUCGAAUUGAAGAUCGGGUUCAUUUCGCCUAACCUGCUACAUUAAUAUUACAACACUGAACCACGUACAUUCCCAUUCGCAGGCAGGUUCCUGACUGCUCAUUUUACAGGAGCACGAGGCCAUGAACAGUUGCUGUAACCAUGUUCUAGUGCAGGAGGGUGCCGGGCGGAGGGGCACAUUGGCUGCUGCACGAUCAACUGAAAAGGGACCAAUUGUGGCGUAGCAUUACAAUUAGCAACACUUUAUUUAAAAGAGUGCUAGAGUGAACAAUGUCCAGGAGCCGUAGAAACUAGAAAGCGAGUGGUUGUACCAUUGUACAUUCUGUACAAUCUCACCACAUUCCACAAACCUACUAGCUUGGUAGAUGUGAAUUCAGGCAGCUUCAAAUGUUACUGCCUCGGUUGUAAAUAUAAGAUUUUGCAAAAUACAGAUAAGCAAUUAAUGCCACUGCACUAAGUGUAGCAAGCAGCCAGUAAAAAUAAUCAAGGUGUGCCUUAUUCAAGUUGU
rnacentral:lncRNA from 1 species